AUUGAACGCUGGCGGCAUGCCUUACACAUGCAAGUCGAACGGCAGCACGGGAGCUUGCUCCUGGUGGCGAGUGACGAACGGGUGAGUAAUGCAUCGGAACGUGCCCUGAAGUGGGGGAUAACGUAGCAAAAGUUACGCUAAUACCGCAUAUUCUGUGAGCAGGAAAGCAGGGGAUCUUCGGACCUUGCGCUUUUGGAGCGGCCGAUGUCGGAUUAGCUAGUUGGUGGGGUAAAGGCCCACCAAGGCGACGAUCCGUAGCGGGUCUGAGAGGAUGAUCCGCCACACUGGAACUGAGACACGGUCCAGACUCCUACGGGAGGCAGCAGUGGGGAAUUUUGGACAAUGGGCGCAAGCCUGAUCCAGCCAUGCCGCGUGAGUGAAGAAGGCCU
rnacentral:rRNA from 1 species